rnacentral:rRNA from 1 species
AUUGAACGCUGGCGGCAGGCUUAACACAUGCAAGUCGAGCGGGGGAAGGUAGCUUGCUACCGGACCUAGCGGCGGACGGGUGAGUAAUGCUUAGGAAUCUGCCUAUUAGUGGGGGGCAACAGCUCGAAAGGGAUGCUAAUACCGCAUACGUCCUACGGGAGAAUGCAGGGGCUCUUCGGACCUUGCGCUAAUAGAUGAGCCUAAGUCGGAUUAGCUAGUUGGUGGGGUAAAGGCCUACCAAGGCGACGAUCUGUAGCGGGUCUGAGAGGAUGAGCCGCCACACUGGGACUGAGACGCGGCCCAGACUCCUACGGGAGGCAGCAGUGGGGAAUAUUGGACAAUGGGGGGAACCCUGAUCCAGCCAUGCCGCGUGUGUGAAGAAGGCCUUAUGGUUGUAAAGCACUUUAAGCGAGGAGGAGGCUACUUUAGUUAAUACCUAGAGAUAGUGGACGUUACUCGCAGAAUAAGCACCGGCUAACUCUGUGCCAGCCGCCGCAGUAA